GAGAGGGACACGCUGGGGAUGACGUAAUGACGCACGCGGUCACGUGACCUAACGCGGGAAGCAUCAAACCCGGUAGUGAGCUGCUUCCGGGAACUUGGGAAGAGCGAGAGGGACACGCUGAGGUUACUGCAGACCAGGUUGGAUGGCGAGCUAGAGUCUGAAGCUUUAUGCCUGGAACCCAACCAACUGAACUGAAACCACCCAACCGAGCCCCGGGCGGGUAGGAGGCUCCUUAGCAGCCGCCCUGUUUUUUCCUUUGUCUUUACCAAAACGCAACGUGUUCAUUUCGGUCCUCCUGAACUUUGACUUUUCCUCCAUCCCUCCACUAAAACCCCUGUGGACACUGCCACCACAACCUGGACUUUGCGGGGCCGUCUAAUGAACUCUGAACUGGUUGGUAGAAACAAGGACUGAAUCAAGUACUGACAUUGUACAUUUUGAGCAUUUUGUGAAUUUGUUGAAUGUGUGAAUGGCCAUUUGAAUUUGUUUAUUUUUCCUAUUAUUCUUUAAUAUAAUUUGGUAACAAACUUAAA